UGACAAGCUUAAAGAGAAGUCAUGCAUAUUUCACUCAGGUCCAAAUGCAGAUGUUUGUUACCAAACGGAUGUAUGCAGACUUCAUCACUUGGACUCCUCAGACCUGCCUGAUAUUCAGAGUACAAAGAGAUGAGGACUUCAUCAGUGGUGCCAAUGUGAUGCAAACAUUUUGGUCACAACACAUACUACACAAACUUCGGGAGCUGAAAGAUGCACAGUCUCUUCACCAGGCGCAGAGGAAGUGGGCCAUCCAGAAUGUGGUACCGGCUCUUCAGGGCACCAAUGACUCUCUGCAGACCACAGAUCACAUAUUUGUUGUUAAAAUG